rnacentral:rRNA from 1 species
UACAGAGGGGGCAAGCGUUAUUCGGAAUUAUUGGGCGUAAAGGGCGCGUAGGCGGCUUGGCAAGUGGAUGGUGAAAUCCCUCGGCUUAACCGAGGAACUGCCAUCCAGACUGCUUUGCUUGAGGCCGGGAGAGGUGAGUGGAAUUCCCAGUGUAGCGGUGAAAUGCGUAGAUAUUGGGAGGAACACCAGUGGCGAAGGCGGCUCACUGGACCGGUUCUGACGCUGAGGAGCGAAAGCGUGGGGAGCGAACAGG